rnacentral:lncRNA from 1 species
GGGAGAUAUAAAUUGUUAUAUGAACUUCGAUAUAAAUAAACUAACUCCAACGAAGAACCAACUGUAAUAAAAAUUGUGAGUUAAAGAAAUCCUUAAGUCCAAAGUCUAGCCAAAACAUUUUUAAUGUAUCAACUAGUUCAUGAAAAUCUGGACAAUAUUGUUUUAAAAAUACAAAUUGUACUUGGUUUUCUUGUACGCAUUGAUUUUAACACCUAAAAAUUUGAGAAGAAAUUUCAUAUUGGCAAAGUAGUGAUACAAACAUUGUAACCGUGUUGAACUUGCUGACUAAGGAAUAAUACGAAUCUCACAGUAUAGUACUAAUAUUAUAUAAAAAAAAUUAAGAAUGAGAGAAAUGACUAUUACUAGUGUUGAGAAAUUAGAAUGAGCUUAAAACUAACCAUAGAUAUAUGAAGAGAUGAAAUUUGAAAUCUAAACCAUACCGCAAGAAAAAUAGGGUUUGCGGAAAACAUUGAUCAAACUAAGCUAGCCAAUUCAAAUACCGAUUAUAACGAUUUACAUAAUCCCAAGCUGAGAUAUAAAAAUGUAAAUGCAGCCAUGGUACAGUCAAGGUCUGUCCCACAGUAGCAAACACUUCAAUCUUUGUAAAUUUAAGGUCUCUACAACACAAUUACUUUCCAACGUUAAGCUUGUACAUAUGAGAGAAAAAUAACAAAGAGCUCUAACAACAAGAUAAGAUACGCUAUUUGAUUGUUUAUGUAUUUUAUUUUUAUUUUUUAUUUUUAACUUGAUUGACAAUGAGAAAGGGGCAGAGAUAGCCAUCCUUAGUCUUGGCCAGAUUUAUGCCUAAAUAAUAUAUUGAAAUUUUGAACCAAAGAAGCACCAAACAAAGGACGCAUAUUGACACCAGAUAAAUGAUACUACAUGAACCAAAAACACUGCCAACAUGAAUAAAUUAGCCAUGACACGGAUUACAACAACUCAAAAUAGCUAAAUCAUGCUUUCAGUUUAAUAUGGAGACAAAUUCUACUAAAACUAAGCAGGGAGUAGGCUGAGUAAUUAAGAAUCAUAAUGAACAAAAGGAAGAUCGUGCUCAAGAUCGAGCUGGAUGAAGCUCAUGCCCAUGGUAUCAAGAGAACUGAACUAAGUAGGCAUGGAAGGAUGCAAAACCAAAAACCAAGAAUUACACCUAAAUACCCUAUGCAAAUUAGGCUAAUAUCGAGACAACGAUAAGUCCCAAAACACAAAGAAAUAGACAAGAUUACAUUUGUAUGAUAUAGAAUAUGUCAAACAAUAUUAAUAUCGCAACUCAGAAAAUAUCUUUAUUGAGCUAGCAUAGAAUAAUUUAGGCAAAGUAAAGGCAGAUUGAGCGUAAUCUCAAAUGGCCUCGUGCCAAAGAUGACCCAACUGAUAUUUUGGUGCUCUCAUUUCAAUAGUCAAUCAUUAAGAUUUUCCAAAUAUCAUAUGUUUAACAUCACAUAAAUUGAACUCGUAGCAUAUGAACCUUAAGGCAAUAGAUGAGGCAGUAAGCACAAGGCGAUGAUAGAAUAGCUUUUAUUAGAUACAAAGAUCAACAUUUAAAAGAGGAAUUCAUUUUCUUAAGAUGAAAUAUUUUAAACUAAAAUAGUGAGUAACGAGCUGAUUCAAAGAACAUGAAAACAAUAUUUAUCCUAUCAAACAUAUAUUACAGAUUUCUCUCAUCAUGAUGUUAAUUCGAUAGAACAAAAUUUCAUUAAACAUAAAGAUUAGGACAUGAAUCAUGUGCGAAAUGAGAGGCUAUAUCCCAAAGCUAAACUAACAUAUCAGAUAGUACACCCGAAUAUGAAUAGAAGGUGAAAAUCAACACGAGGCAUAGGCAAAAUAGAUUCUAAGAAACGGGUGACUAAAAUCCAAGAUAAGAACUGAAACUUCGGUACAGUAAAAGACACAACAAAUAAACUCAAACUAUAGUAUAUCUUAUACGAGAAAAUCACAAACAACAUACCAAUACCGACUAUUUAAACGCCAAAAUAAAAACUGAUCAAAUGGAGAUUCACAUACUUAAAAAUGGUAUCAGACUUACAAAAGAAAAAACAUUGAACUGCUCAACAAGAAGGAAAACAGAGUAAUCAGCUAACAAUAGUAACAAAUUAAAAAAUACAUCAAUAAUAUACAAGAAUUUAAAUAAGACGAUAAAAGUUAACCUUUUCCGGGGCAUCGACUGAGACAAACGUGUUGAAGAGCUUCCUACUACUACUGACCGCCGCAAUCAGAUGAACAAAAGAACUUGAAAGAAAAUUGAAAAUCCGAGGUUCAAACCUUCGUGGGUUCGAUUUCAGAGAAUACUAUUCUCCAACUUUCAAAUUUCAAUCCUCUGACCCCUUUCUAAAUGGGACCAAUACCAUGUAUUUAUAGCAAAAAUAAAGGCUUGAAUUCAAAUACUCGUUUGAGUGGGAGAUGAGAGAUUGAUUGAAAAUAAUGGAGGAGAAAACGAGUAAGAGAAGAACAUACCGCCAAAAAUCCGGAUUUGAUGUGAUAGCUCUGAUUCGCAUCAAAUUUCGGUGAGAUUUUUAUAUAAUCCAAAGUCAACAAAUCUAACCCGAGGUCUUCAAUCUUUUAAUAUGGAGGGAGGGACCGUCAAUGGUGAUGGGCGGUGUAGUUGGAUGAAGAAAUUAAGGUUCUUUGUAUUGACUUUGUGUUUUGGAGGAAGAAAAGUGAGAGGAGCGUGUCUUUGGUUUAGAGAGUGAAUUAGAA